AGUGAACGCUGGCGGUAGGCCUAACACAUGCAAGUCGAACGGCAGCACAGGAGAGCUUGCUCUCUGGGCGGCGAGUGGCGGACGGGUGAGGAAUACAUCGGAAUCUACUCUGUCGUGGGGGAUAACGUAGGGAAACUUACGCUAAUACCGCAUACGACCUACGGGUGAAAGCAGGGGAUCUUCGGACCUUGCGCGAUUGAAUGAGCCGAUGUCGGGUUAGGUAGUUGGCGGGGUAAAGGCCCACCAAGGCGACGAUCCGUAGCUGGUCUGAGAGGAUGAUCAGCCACACUGGAACUGAGACACGGUCCAGACUCCUACGGGAGGCAGCAGUGGGGAAUAUUGGACAAUGGGGGAAACCCUGAUCCAGCAAUACCGCGUGUGUGAAGAAGGCCUUCGGGUUGUAAAGCACUUUAGUUGGGGAGGAAGGUUAGCAGUUUAAGAGAUGGCUAAUUUGACUGUACCCAAAGAAUAAGCACCGGCUAACUCUGUGCCAGCCGCCGCCGUAA
rnacentral:rRNA from 1 species